AUUGAACGCUGGCGGCAGGCCUAACACAUGCAAGUCGAACGAGCGGCGGACGGGUGAGUAAUGUCUGGGAAACUGCCUGAUGGAGGGGGAUAACUACUGGAAACGGUAGCUAAUACCGCAUACCAUCAGAUGUGCCCAGAUGGGAUUAGCUAGUAGGUGGGGUAACGGCUAACCAAGGCGACGAUCCCUAGCUGGUCUGAGAGGAUGACCACCCACACUGGACCUGAGACACGGUCCAGACUCCUCCGGGAGGCAGCAGUGGGGAAUCUUGCACAAUGGGCGCAAGCCUGAUGCAGCCAUUCCGCUUGUAUGAAGAAGGCCUUCGGGUUGUAAAGUUCUUUCAGCGGGGAGGCGUUACCCGCAGAAUAAGCACCGGCUAACUCCGUGCCAGCAGCCGCGGUAAUUC
rnacentral:rRNA from 1 species